CACCUAUGUCUGAGAUCCCAAACCUAAGAAAUAUUAAGUUUUUACCUUAUGUUUAGAACAUCUGAUAUCUUAAUUCUGCAGGCUUCAGAGAAGGCCAUGCAUGGGUCUUGAUGAGGGAAAAUUAUUGUCCCAAAGCAGCCAUUUAAAAUGCGGACUUCCCUGGCAGUUCAGUGGUUAAGACUUCUGUUUCCACUGCAGAGGACUUGGAUUUGAUCCCUGGUUAGGGAACUAAGAUCCUGCAUGGUGCAGUCAAAAAGAAAGGCACAAUGAAGUUGAAAUAGAAAUUGGUCAAGAUAGAUUAGGUCAUGCUUCCAUGCUUUGAUUACAAAGAACCCCCAGUCUCAGUCUUCACCCAAAGUCUACUGACCUUGGCAGUUGAAUCUUGGCAGUUCUUGACCUUGGCAAGAACUGAAUCUUGGCAGUUCUCCAGCCUCAGAAUUCAGCUUGCUUUGAUCUCAUGGUACUUGUAUAUCACCAUGUGCCUCCCCAGCCACCCCUCCCCACAAGGGACGGGACAGUGUAUUACACAGGUCAUUUCCACUCAUCUCAUUUGCUCCAGCAAGUCAUGGCCACCCCCUUGGACAGCAAGGAGAUCAAACUAGUCAAUCCUAAAGGAAAUCAACCCUGAAAAUUCACUGGAGAGACUGAUGCUGAAGCUCCAAUACUUUGGCCACCUGAUGAGUCAACUCAUUGGAUAAGACCCUGAUGCUGGACAAGAUUGGAGGCAAAAGGAGAAGGGGGCAGUAGAGGAUGAGAUGGUUAGACAGCGCCACCAACUCAAUAGACAAGAAUCUGAGCAAACUCUGGAAGACAGUGAAGGACACAAGAGGCUGGCGCGCUGCAGUCCACAGGAUUGCAAAGAGUCAGACAGGCCUUAGCAACUGAACAACAACAACAAUUUCAAGACAUUGGAAAGGGGGGAUUUCAAGUAGAAAAGAACUGGAUUUUAGUAUAUAAUAACGCCAACCACGGAGGUACUAGCCAAGAAAAGUUGAUAAGAGAAGCUGCGGUCUACAGGGCAAAGAUUUUUAAAAUAUCUGAAAAAGAAGGGAUGGCAAGUCAAAAUGAGACUGGUCUUUUAGAAACAUGAAGUGAUAUUCAUUUUUGCCAUGGCAGUUUUUUUCAUUAACUUUCCUCAAAAUUUGGAAUCAGUUUACCAAAUGAAAAGUCUGUUCAUUUCUCAAACAUAUGACAAUAAUUAAUUUUUUAAAAAAUCAUUUUUCUUGUUCAUUGAAAGAAACACCAAGUGUAUUCUCAGUCCUUUACACUGUAUUUUCCCAGUAUACUUCUGGUAAACAUUCAUCAGAACCACCUGGGUUACUCGGUAUAAUAGCACUUUUCUCGGCUCUCCCCAGAUGUACAGAAUUAGAAAGUCUGAAAUUCUGAUGGAUUCAUCAGCAAGUCAUCAAAAUGUAUUCAAAUCUAUCCAUUUCUCACCAUCUCUAUGAUUAUUACAAUUGUAGUCUAAACUAUUAUAUCUUUCCUGGAUCCCUGUAGUAAAUAAUUAGCUUCUCUCCACUUACAUGGUUGGACCAUUAUCCAAAGAACAGAC
ensembl:lncRNA